CCCGCAGUAUCAGCCCUUGAGGAGCAGGUUUGAGCUUAUACUGUUCACUACUGAAGCAUCUCUUCUGCUCUCAGAAGACAGAACAGUGGAAAUAUGAAUCUUGUGAAGCUUUUCAGACAGAUGAGCUGGAUUGAGAAACGUGUAAGAAAGCCACUGGAUUGUAGAAUAGAAACAACACAUGCAGAAAACUACCGGAGCAUCACGAACCACAGACCAACGAACACCAACAGCACAGAGAGAGAAACCAGUGAAUCACAAGAGAAAACACUGGUUAGAUGCUACAGUAUGGGGAAAUAAAGCCAGACUUUCUUACACUGAUGAAUACUCACAGAUCAGUCUGAUUGUGUGUAAAGGACAGGAUCUGUUUUGUGUAGAUUGUUUGCGUUCACAUACUUGUGCGUUAUUUUUCUUGGUUUUGUCACAUGUAUACUGUAGUUUAUACUGUAGUUUAUACUGUAGUUCAGAUGAUUGAGUGUCUAAAGUGACUGUAGAGUCUCAAGGAAGAAAAAAGGUACAAAAGCUGUCUCUGCAGAGUUACCCUUUCAAACAGUAAUAAUAUAUACACUUCAGAUUCUAAUCUGUACUUUUAAAAUCAUAAUAUAUAUAUGUUUAAGAUAAUAAAAUGUACCUUUUAGGGGUAAAUACAGUAGAUAAAGUAAAAGAGUGUAUAUUUUAGCUUUUGUAUGUUAGGGUAAUUACAGCCCAGUGACAGAUUUGUACCUUUUUCUGAGUGAAACUGUAAUAAUAUUAAUUCUAUCUGAAAUAAUAUCUGCCUGUUGUUCAUCAGGAUCAUAACUGAUUCAUUUCAUGAUUUCUGACCAGUGUUUAGAACCACAUGUAAAUCUGAACGUUAUUUACACAUGUAUUUGUGUUUAUAUUUUAACAUGACUGCUCUGUGAUCCAGAUGUGCUCCUCCUCACGGACUCUAAUGGGAAGUUCUUGGACCCACAGAAACUCUUCCCACACCAGAAAGUCACAGCAAAGUGAUGCAGCACAACAGGCCAGGCCCACCAGAUCAUCAGAGACUUCACAGGACACACCUCACGUGUUAUUAUACACACUGAGACGAACGACCUUCACUCACUGCGCAACAAUACUGCUGACGCUGUGAGAUAGCAGAAAAUAGCAGAAAUCACCAGAAAAAGAUUCCCAGAGUCCCGAAUCGUAAUCUCCACACUUCUCCCACGAUCCGACGCACCACCACACGUCUUCUACAACAUUAAUGAUGAAAUCUCCCAUAGAUGCUCUUCACUCCCUAACGUACACCUGGCCCACCACCACAACAUCGGCCUCCAUCACCUGUAUGAUGUUCUCCACCUGCACAGAGAUGCAGGAAUAUUCAGGGUCUUUUUUUUCUUCAACUUGUGGUCCUAAAAGCACAGACCCUGAAUUCCUUACAAAUAUCAAAGAUGCAGAUGUAAUCGUUCUCACCGAGACCUGGUGUAGAAGUGAUGCGCUCACCUACUGUCCCUCAGGCUACUAUGAAGUGAUUGUGCCCUCAGUUAAAUUAAGUACAGUGCAUCGUGGACGAGACUCAGGAGGAGUUCUGCUGUGGUACAAGGAGGAUCUGGCCAAACACAUUUCUGUCAUCACACUCGGAAAAUUUCACUGCUGGUUAAAACUAAAUAACCAAAUUGGCAUUUCAACCACUGACACAUACCUCUGUGCCAUCUAUAUCCCCCCAGCAGAAUCCCCUUACCAUGAUGAAGAGUAUCUGAACAACAUCCACACAGAGAUCAGCCGUUUCCAGGCCCAGGGAAAUGUGCUGCUGUGUGGAGACUUUAAUGCAAGAACUGGAUCUGAACCUGAUUACAUAGAUCCAAAGGGGAAUCAAUAUAUCUUUGGCCAGAGCUCCCUGGGUCUCACAAGAAAUAAUCUUGACCAAACUGAGCAGAGAAAUUCAUCCAUGCCCUGAAUUCUGAAGAACUGACAAAUCUAAUUAGUAUAAUUAUGAAUAAACAAUUUGAAACAACUAAAGAUGGUGUUAAUUUGGCUACAAAUGAAAUCAAUAACAUAUUUCAAAAAGCAGCAUUUAUAAGUGAAUUGAAAAAGAAAGGCAAAAAAUUCAUUAGAAAAACACCAAAAGAUGAAAAAUAGUUUGACUCAGACUGUAAAACAUUAAGAAAACAACUUAGAAAUUAUCAAAUCUGAAACAUAAAGAACCAUACGACACCGACAUAAGAACUGAAUACUGCUCAACACUAAAACAAUACAGAGACACAAUUAGAGCAAAAAAACAACACCAUCUGAACAAAAGCUUAGAAGAAAUAAUCUGAGCUCAAGAAAACCACAAGAUCUAAAGUUCUUCUUUAAAUUUUUGAUGAAAAGCCUAAGACUAUCCUACGUUUUGAAAUUAACAAAAUUAAUGUGUUUUUUUCAAGAUGUUACAACGUUAUAUCAUAAUGGUAUUGUUGUUUUAAAUUCUCCUUUUAUCUCAUUUUACAAUUAUAUUCAUUUUCGCAAUCUGUCCCUUUGCGCCACCUGGCGGUAGUUUUGCGAAUGAUGUCCACCUACUGUAAAUACAGUUCAGGAAAAGAACCAGAAUCUGGAUUAAUAAACCCCAGAGAGUAAUCCAAUAACAGUUUCAGAUCUUUUUCAGAUGAAGUGAUCCUCCACUUGUCAAGAGCUCUGGAGACCAGUCGAGUAGAUCUCAUCCCCAGCUUCUCAGUCUCUGAACUCACAGAUAUAAAGUUAGAUCCAGAGUUGGGGCAUAGAGGACCUACAAUAAUGUACAGUAUUUGAAAAAGAAUCUGUUUUUUGAACAUUAAAGCAUUUCAACAUAUUCUGUUAUACCAAAUACACAAAAUGCUGAUCUUUAGAAAAGCAUCAUAUGACCACUUUAAAAAGAUAAACCAGGAAUCUUGAAGAGUUUCAGCUUCUGAGGAUCUGGCCACAGUGAGUCUCUUCCCAAUCGCAGUCCUUCAGAUUCUCUCAGUGUAGAGAAGAGUACAUUACUCCAGUUUGAGAUCUCCGAGUCUGUUAAAAGUCUUUGUAUGAACUCAAUUCUAAAAGUUUGACUUUGUAGAUGCACCAGUCCUCUUUCUUCUUUAGGAGGGUUCAGUACACUUCUUUGUAUCCAGUGCAGCUUGUCCC